AAUCUCUUGUAAACACCCCUUAAACCGAGACCUCUAGGGUGUAUAAAUCACGUCUCUCAUACCUCAGGCGGAGGGUGUCUGAGGAAUAAUCUAACUG
rnacentral:ncRNA from 1 species